AUAACAGACAACACAAAAGUACUACGUGGUUCAAUUCGACGACGGAAUCCAAAUUAUUCCUAAAAAUUAGUUUGUUGAUGAGACUCAAACAAAAACAUAUUGACCAAACUAUACUAAUUUCAAAACUUAUGAUAAGGCAGUCGAAUCAAUGCAAAAUGUUGACAUUGUUAAUUGGACAAGUCACAGUACGUGAAAUUAUAACAACUUCUGACAUCUUAUGUAUUAUGACAUCUCAAAUGUAUUAUUACUGCGAAUCAAAAUGAAGAACGAGUUGUAUGUACAAUCUGUAAAAAUAAUCAAGCAGAGAAACGUGAAGAGGAAGAAAAUCUAUUUGUCUCUAUGUUUCCUGUAAAAAACGAUGAGGAAUUACAAACAUUAGAGAGGUUGUUAGUGGACAAACAAAGUUAUACAAAAUUGAUAAGAUAUUUGUCUUCUUGUAAAUAUUACAGAAAUUUUACAGAAAUUAGACGGGCACAAUAUAAAACAUGUUAUACAUAAUAUCUUAAAAAAUGCUUCGUAUUGAAAUUAGCGCAAACAUAUAGUUGGCUUGGAAUUGGAAAAAGAAUAAAAAAAAAGUUUUCUGAACUACGUUUUUGCACAGUCAUAAUAGGAGAAGCGCAUCUCUCACUUAAUGACAUUUCCACGCUCAUUGGCAUUAUACAUUGGGGAUUGUCCACGUCGUUUAAACAUGGAAUGUGCAUCGAGAAUUAAAAAAGAGCGAGAUUGGUGGCAAUUAGAAGUGAGGCGAUUACACGUAUCUCGGAUAUAACAAUACGCAAAAUGAGGACAUCUGCGGAUAUGACAAAAUUGGGCACUACAUUUGCGCGCACGCGCAAGCCAGUUGGUGCUUAACACGAUCAGGCGUUGCCUCUUAGUUUUAAAUUCUUAAUCGUUUGUACUUGACAUUCUCUUCACAUCUAUUAUUUCAUUAAUUGUCUUUAUGUCUUAUUCAUCGCGUUGUAUUACCGCACUGAAGAAGACCUAAU